rnacentral:rRNA from 1 species
CAAUAGCGUAUAUUAAAGUUGUUGCAGUUAAAAAGCUCGUAGUUGAACUUCAGACCUGGCUGGGUGGUCUGCCUUCUUGGCGUGUACUGUCCGGCCGGGCCUUACCUCUUGGUGAGCCGGCAUGCCCUUCACUGGGUGUGUCGGGGAACCAGGACUUUUACCUUGAGAAAAUUAGAGUGUUCAAAGCAGGCUUAUGCCCGAAUACAUUAGCAUGGAAUAAUAAAAUAGGACGUGCGGUUCUAUUUUGUUGGUUUCUAGAGUCGCCGUAAUGAUUAAUAGGGAUAGUUGGGGGCAUUAGUAUUCCGUUGCUAGAGGUGAAAUUCUUGGAUUUACGGAAGACUAACUACUGCGAAAGCAUUUGCCAAGGAUGUUUUCAUUA